CUACUGCGGCCCGACUACAGAGACGUGCUGCUACUUUGAUGGCCUGGAGAUCAGAACCGACAACUUGUACGACGGUGAAGUGUAUUGUGGCACGGACAUCACUGCAGGCCAGACCUUCACUGGAACCGGUCAAGAGAUGGUUUUAUACUUCAGGGCGAUAAGUAAUAAUAUUCGCAGGGGAUGGUCUGCCCAACUCACCUUUGUGCCGCAACCGGGAUGCACAACCACCACUGCAGAAACCUCCACCACCACCACCACCACAGCAACAACAACCACCACUACAGAACCCACCACCACCACCACCACAGCAACAACCACCACUACAGAACCCACCACCACCACCACCACAGCAACAACCACCACUACAGAACCCACCACCACCACCACCACAGCAACAACCACCACUACAGAACCCACCACCACCACUACAGAACCCACCACCACCACAGCAACAACAACCACCACCACCACCAGCCCACCACCACCUAGAUGUUUAAUUCAGGCUGUCAACGGAGUGUUCUACUGGUCCUCCCCCGGCCUCGGCAUCACCAACUACCCGAAUAACUUCAACUGCGCAGUGCGAGGAUUUUCGACGAGAUCCAUGUUGACGCUGAAACUGGAAACGUUCACGCUGCAGAGAGCCAGGAGAAGGAGAUG